CCAUGGAGAUUAAAGGAUUUCUCAAACAUCCAUGAAAGAAAUCACGGCAACACUCCAGGUAUGUUUUGAUGAGGGAAUAACAUUAUAAUAUGAUAUAAAGCUC